GCCGGGUGCGGUGGCGCGCGCCUGUAGUCUAGCUACUUGGGAGGCUGAGGCAGGAGGAUCGCUUGAGUCCAGGAGUUCUGGGCUGCAGUGCGCUAUGACGAUCGGGUGUCCGCACUAAGUUUGGCAUCAAUAUGGUGACCUCCCGGGAGCGGGGGACCACCAGGUUUCCUAAGGAGGGGUGAACCGGACCAGGUUGGAAAUUCAUCUCCCCAGAAUUGUUCAUGAAUGUUCAAGAAAAGAGCCUUUGUCACAAAAUACUCAUGGAUGCUCUAGUACACCAUUUACUUAAACAUUUUAUUUUGUCUUAU
rnacentral:SRP_RNA from 1 species